rnacentral:rRNA from 1 species
CCUACGGGAGUCUGCAGUGGGGAAUAUUGGACAAUGGGGGCAACCCUGAUCCAGCCAUGCCGCGUGUGUGAAGAAGGCCCUCGGGUUGUAAAGCACUUUCAGUGAGGAAGAACGCCUGGUGGUUAAUACCCAUCAGGAAAGACAUCACUCACAGAAGAAGCACCGGCUAACUCCGUGCCAGCAGCCGCGGUAAUACGGAGGGUGCGAGCGUUAAUCGGAAUUACUGGGCGUAAAGCGCGCGUAGGUGGCUUGAUAAGCCGGUUGUGAAAGCCCCGGGCUCAACCUGGGAACGGCAUCCGGAACUGUCAAGCUAGAGUGCAGGAGAGGAAGGUAGAAUUCCCGGUGUAGCGGUGAAAUGCGUAGAGAUCGGGAGGAAUACCAGUGGCGAAGGCGGCCUUCUGGACUGACACUGACACUGAGGUGCGAAAGCGUGGGUAGCAAACAGGAUUAGAUACCCGAGUAGUC